rnacentral:rRNA from 1 species
AGGAAUAUUGGUCAAUGGGCGAAAGCCUGAACCAGCCAUGCCGCGUGCAGGAAGACGGCCCUACGGGUUGUAAACUGCUUUUGCAGGGGAAUAAACCCUCGUAUGUAUACGAGGUUGAAUGUACCUUGAGAAUAAGGAUCGGCUAACUCCGUGCCAGCAGCCGCGGUAAUACGGAGGAUCCGAGCGUUAUCCGGAUUUAUUGGGUUUAAAGGGUGCGUAGGCGGCCUAUUAAGUCAGGGGUGAAAGACGGUAGCUUAACUAUCGCAGUGCCUUUGAUACUGAUGGGCUUGAAUGUACUUGAAGUGGGCGGAAUGUGACGAGUAGCGGUGAAAUGCAUAGAUACGUCACAGAACACCGAUUGCGAAGGCAGCUCACUAAAGUAUGAUUGACGCUGAGGCACGAAAGCGUGGGGAUCAAACA